GAGGUAUGCUGUCAAGGACCUAUGGUCGU
rnacentral:sRNA from 1 species